UUGAUCUCCUUGUGAGUCAGGAGUUUGAUUAAUCGCGGCCUGUGAACGAGGCUGGACACCUGGUCUGCUGCUGAGCCUUUGAUCUCCGGGGUUUCUCCGGGAGAAACACAUACAUGAUCAUAGAAAACUUGGAAAACAGAAACCCACAAAGAUGGGAGGAAAAAGCAGCCGUCAUCAUCCGAGAUAACUGCUGUUAACAUACUGAAGUCCCUCGUUGCAUUUUGUCAGACUAUGGGUGUGUAUGUAUGUACGUACGUACGUAUAAAUGAAAGAAUGAAGAAAGAACGGAAAGAAAGAAGGAAGAGAGAGAGAGAGAAAAGGAUGAAAGAAAGGCAGAAAGAAAGAAAGAAGGAAAUGAAGGAAGAAAGAAAGAAGAGAAAGGAAGGAAGAAAGAAAGAAAGGAAGAAAAGAGAGAAUCAAAUAGAAUCAAAGGUCACUGUCGUGUCAUGUCCAACAUACGGCAACAGAUUCCUGCUGGCUUCCUGCCUUCAGCCUUUCUCCACACCAGUCGACCUGGUACAUUAACACCAGAUUGUUCCCCAAAACCACUGCUCUCUCCGGCUUCCUCUCCUGCUCAGAACCCUCCAGUGACUCACUCUCGCCUUUUGCUAUUCAAUCCAGACUUCUUAGCUGAAUCACCUACUCCCUACUUUUCCAUUUACUUGCCUCUGUUUCUCAAUGUGGUUGCUCUUAUUGUCUCAUAAGCACGCUAGGAUCUUUCCCAUCAAUGAGCCUUCAUUCCUGUUUCCUCCUCCGGGCAUAUAGCAAGUUCCCUACAAACGAAAUUUUAAGUUGCAAAAUUUCAAAGAUGUGAACAUGUGUUUGCAUAUUCAAUCACGUAAGUUAGUUCACGUGUCUGGAGUACAUUGUCACGUGCAUGCAUCCUCUACAAGUGGUUGUGCUUUUGUGUACUUUACUGUACA